ACGCUGGCGGCAGGCCUAAUACAUGCAAGUCGAGCGCACCCUUGUGGUGAGCGGCGGACGGGUUAGUAACGCGUGGGAACGUGCCCUUCUCUAAGGAAUAGCCUCUGGAAACGGAGAGUAAUACCUUAUACGCCCUUCGGGGGAAAGAUUUAUCGGAGAAGGAUCGGCCCGCGUUAGAUUAGAUAGUUGGUGGGGUAACGGCCUACCAAGUCUACGAUCUAUAGCUGGUUUUAGAGGAUGAUCAGCAACACUGGGACUGAGACACGGCCCAGACUCCUACGGGAGGCAGCAGUAGGGAAUCUUGGACAAUGGGGGCAACCCUGAUCCAGCCAUGCCGCGUGAGUGAAGAAGGCCUUAGGGUCGUAAAGCUCUUUCGCCUGUGAUGAUAAUGACAGUAGCAGGUAAAGAAACCCCGGCUAACUCCGUGCCAGCAGCCGCGGUAAUACGGAGGGGGUUAGCGUUGUUCGGAAUUACUGGGCGUAAAGCGCGCGUAGGCGGAUUGGAAAGUUAGAGGUGAAAUCCCGGGGCUCAACCCCGGAACUGCCUUUAAAACUCCCAGUCUUGAGUUCGAGAGAGGUGAGUGGAAUUCCAAGUGUAGAGGUGAAAUUCGUAGAUAUUUGGAGGAACACCAGUGGCGAAGGCGGCUCACUGGCUCGAUACUGACGCUGAGGUGCGAAAGUGUGGGGAGCAAACAGGAUUAGAUACCCUGGUAGUCCACACCGUAAACGAUGAAUGCCAGUCGUCGGGUAGUAUACUAUUCGGUGACACACCUAACGGAUUAAGCAUUCCGCCUGGGGAGUACGGU
rnacentral:rRNA from 1 species